GGAGAGGUGCCAGAGCGGUCGAAUGGGGCGGUCUCGAAAACCGUUGACCGGGCAACCGGUCCGUGGGUUCGAAUCCCACCCUCUCCGCCA
rnacentral:tRNA from 3 species